UACGUAGGGCGCAAGCGUUGUCCGGAAUUAUUGGGCGUAAAGAGCGUGUAGGCGGUUCGGUAAGUCGGCUGUGAAAGUCCAGGGCUCAACCCUGGGAUGCCGGUCGAUACUGCCGGACUAGAGUUCGGAAGAGGCGAGUGGAAUUCCCGGUGUAGCGGUGAAAUGCGCAGAUAUCGGGAGGAACACCUAUGGCGAAGGCAGCUCGCUGGGACGUUACUGACGCUGAGACGCGAAAGCGUGGGGAGCAAACAGG
rnacentral:rRNA from 1 species